CUCCUACCACUUGUGGCACAUUGGGCUAUGCACGUGGAAAAGCUGAAAUUCUUAAAAGGAAACCAGGAGGCUUCUAGGACCCAGAAGCUGAGAUGCUUUCCAAGCUUCAGGCUGCCUCUUACCCUUCACUGCAGUAGAUCUGUGCAUCAGCUACAGUGGACAAGAAGCAACAGAGAGGUACCCAGUAUGCUAGAAACCUGCACAAGGGAAGAAAGCAGCUAG
rnacentral:lncRNA from 1 species